rnacentral:tRNA from 1 species
GCCGGGUUAGCUCAGUUGGUAGAGCGCUAGUUUUGUAAACUAGAUGUCGCGGGUUCGACUCCUGCACCCGGCACCA